rnacentral:rRNA from 1 species
UACGUAGGUGGCAAGCGUUGUCCGGAAUCACUGGGCGUAAAGGGCGCGUAGGCGGCUCAGUAAGGUUGCGGUGAAAGCCCGGGGCUCAACCCCGGGUCGGCCGUGGCAACUGCUGGGCUGGAGCACUGUAGAGGCAGGUGGAAUUCCGGGUGUAGCGGUGGAAUGCGUAGAGAUCCGGAAGAACACCGGUGGCGAAGGCGGCCUGCUGGGCAGUAGCUGACGCUGAGGCGCGACAGCGUGGGGAGCAAACAGG